rnacentral:rRNA from 1 species
AGAGGCGAGACGGAGACGUUAAGCAAAGACACAAAAACCUAAGUCCCAGUUCGGAUUGUAGUCUGCAACUCGAGUACAUGAAGCUGGAAUCGCUAGUAAUCGCAAAUCAGAAUGUUGCGGUGAAUACGUUCCCGGGCCUUGUACACACCGCCCGUCACACCAUGGGAGUUGGAAGCACCCGAAGUCGAUGACCUAACCGCGAGGGAGGAGUCGCCGAAGGUGAAGCCAGUGACUGGGGUGAAGUCGUAACAAGGUAGC